AGCUUACGAGGUUUUUCGGCGCGCUGGGGUGAAAUGUCUGGGGCCCAGGCAGGGCGUGCUGGGACUUGGGGCUGCGGCGGCCCCGAGGGCUCUGUCGUACGGACUUCUCCGCCCGCUGCCUAGUACUCGUGGGCUAUGGACCCACCCGCCCAGGCGGGCCUGAAACCUUGGGGCCACCCCUUGGCAGGUUCCCUGUAUUUGAACCGUCUUCAUCACAAUUUUCAAGCUGUCAGCUUUCCCAAUCCUGGCCUCCGUUAGGUUGUUCGUCUUCUCGAACCAUUCUGUUUCUGGCUUAAGCAUCUCUCUUGUCUUUGGAGUUAGUAACACCUUUGCCUGUGUAUGCUUUAUGUUGAUACAAUGGCCAAGAACAAAUUAAAAGGGCAGAAGUCCAGGAAUGUAUUUCAUAUAGCCAGCCAAAGAACCUUCAAAGCUAAAAAUAAGGCAAAACCAGUUACUACUAAUCUUAAGAAGAUAAACAUUAUGAAUGAUGAAAAAGUCAACAGAAUGAACACAGCUUUUGUAAAUAUACAGAAAGAACUUGCAAACUUUUCAAAAAGCCUUUCUCUUAAAUCUGUGCAAAAAGAGCUGGAGAAUCUUGUUGAGAAGAAAACAGAAGAAAGGCGAUCAAUGAGAAAGGCAAUGGCAACAAUCCACUAUAGGUAGGAAUACAGAUGGAGUAAACUAAGAAGGUGAUGAUCAGAGGGGACAGUCUGAGUAGAAUCUGAAGGCUCUGCAAGCAGCAGUUCCUGGCAGAGAGGAGCCAAGGAUCACUCAAGGUCACCAAAGAAUAAUCAAAAGAGAAGGAAAAAAGGUAUUUGAUAGUGUCUAACUAGGAAAAUCAGUGAUCUUCUGAAAUCUAUAAACUGAAAUCUGUAGAGAUUGUGUGCCUGUAUCCACCAGCUGUAUAGUUUGAAAAUCCUUUUCUAGAACUAUUAUUUUGGCUGGCAUACAGAGAUUUCACUGUGACAUCUGUCAUUAUAGUUAAUCUGUUCCUAACUGACACCCCCGCCCCACUGCCCUCCCUCAUCUCUUGCCCUCUUGCUGUGUUCUCACAUGGUCUUUUUAUGUGUGAACUGCCCUGCUGGUUCUGUGUCUCCAAAUUUGCUGUCACAAGGAAACUGAUGAGAUUUCCUUAGGUCACAUCCUGAUAGUGUCAUUUAACUCAGCCUUCCUUUAAGAAACUACCUUCAAAUGUAGUUUCAUAUUAAUGAAUGGGGUGGAGGGCACAAGUUUUGACAAUUCAGCCUAUAUCCCCAUUAAUAAACUUGUGUUCUAUAUUACCAUAUCUUCUGGCAGACAUUUUCCUGCCUUGUUUCUAAGAAUCUGAGUACUCUUAAAUACUUCAAAUUAAAAUCAUAUAAUAGGGUCUGGAGAGAGAGAUCAGCAGUUAAUAAGAGUACUGGCUGCUCUUCCAGAGGACCUAGGUUCAAUCCCCAGGACCCACAUGAUGGCUUUCAACCAUCUGUAACUCCAAUUCCAGGGGUCUGAUGCCCUCUUCUGGCCUCUGCAGGCUCCAGGCACACAUGUAGUGCAGACAUACAUGCAGGCAAAACACUCAUACACAUAAAAUAAAAAUAAUAAUAAAAAAAAAAGAAUUGUAUAGCAUGUUUGUUUACUCAUGUAAAAUCUUCAAGGAUCAUCUCCGCAGUACAGAAUUUCUUUCUAAAACAGAAAAGCUCCUCACUGUGCCAUCUGAGUUGCCCAUCUUUUGACUAUUUGAGUAAUACCAACAUGAACAUGGAUUUUACAAAUACCUCCUAUUCCAGACCCCACUUUCAAUUCUGCAGGCAUAUACUCAGGAGUGGUGCUGUCCUAAAGCAAGUACUGAAGCCUUCCUUGCUCCAUACAUACCUCCCUAUGUCAACUACCUCAGACUCUUGUUACCUACUGAAGCUUGAGGUUGAAUACGUCCCAUCUGGGUGUGUGUGUAUCAGUUAGGUCAUUUGUUAUAUUUGUGUCUGGAUCUGGGAGAGAAGAGGCACCAAUACUUAGGUGUCAUUCAGGUAAUUGUAACUUAAGUAACCAUAAUGCAUAACAUACACAAUCCAGAUUAUGUUUGCAAAGUUCAAGAUGGCAGCAAAAUGGCAAAUAAAAUAUUGUAAAGUAUACUGAACAGGAAUUUUCAGAAUACACACCCACACUCUUUAACAGUUCAGUUAUUAAGCUACAGGAAAAUAAAACACUAUUUCUACAGAAUCUGCCAUCAGUGCCCUCCUUUUUAGACAGAUGCCCAUUGCCUACCAUGUUAGUUUUAUUCCAGAGAAGUAAAAUUUUGUAUUUUUCUUUACAAAAAGGAAUCCAUGAUACAGAGAGACACGUGAAAACUUAAAUUUUUAAGGACUACUAAAACGACAGUACAGCACAGAAAAUAAGUCUAAUGACCAAUCUCACUUGAUAGACCUAACCCAGAACUUUCCUAAAUUUAGUGUAUCAGGCUCACAAUAGGGUGAGAAUAUUAUGCUUACCAUCUACACAGUCCUGAUUAUUUUACAGCCACUCAGGAUAUUUCAUGGGAAAGUUAAUAUAUUUUUAUAUUUGUGAUUUUCACAAAAUUGGAUUCUUUUAUUAAAAAAAUUAGGUGCAAAACCUGUAUCAGUAGCUUAUACAGAAAAAUGUUCUUUCUUCAGAGUUAGAAUAAAAAAAUAAUGAAUGAGUUUUAUAAUUUUCAGAUAGAAAUGUAUUAUUAUCAGAAUAAGUCGAUCUUUAACAUGUAUUAUCAGGAUAUCUUAAUGAUAUUUCAUAAUGAUGUACUAUGAGAAACAUCACUAGGAAUGCCUCACUGUAAGUUGUUUUAUAUAUAAGAUUUUAUUUUUUAUUAAGAAAUUUUUUAUUCAUUUUACAUAACCAAUCACAGAUUCCCCUCUUCCCGCCCCUAUAUAUAAGAUUUUAUGUGUAUUUAUAUAUGUGUGUAUUUAUGUGUAUGUAUAAAUAAAAUGUUUUUCUACUUAGGAAAUAGAA